UACAGAGGGGGCAAGCGUUGUUCGGAAUUACUGGGCGUAAAGGGCGCGUAGGCGGCCUUCUAAGUCGAACGUGAAAUCCCCGGGCUCAACCCGGGAACUGCGUCCGAUACUGGAAGGCUUGAAUCCGGGAGAGGGAUGCGGAAUUCCAGGUGUAGCGGUGAAAUGCGUAGAUAUCUGGAGGAACACCGGUGACGAAGGCGGGUCUCUGGGGCAUAACUGACGCUGAGGAGCGAAAGCAUGGGGAGCGAACAGG
rnacentral:rRNA from 1 species